AGAAUUUAGCAGAGAUGCUUUAGUGCCUUCGGGAACUCUGAGACAGGUGCUGCAUGGCUGUCGUCAGCUCGUGUUGUGAAUGUUGGGUUAAGUCCCGCAAUGAGCGCAACCCCUAUCCUUUGUUGCCAGCGAUUCGGUCGGGAACUCAAAGGAGACUGCCGGUGAUAAACCGGAGGAAGGUGGGGAUGACGUCAAGUCAUCAUGGCCCUUACGAGUAGGGCUACACACGUGCUACAAUGGCGCAUACAAAGAGAAGCGACCUCGCGAGAGCAAGCGGACCUCAUAAAGUGCGUCGUAGUCCGGAUUGGAGUCUGCAACUCGACUCCAUGAGGUCGGAAUCGCUAGUAAUCGUAGAUCAGAAUGCUACGGUGAAUACGUUCCCGGGCCUUGUACACACCGCCCGUCACACCAUGGGAGUGGGUUGCAAAAGAAGUAGAUAGCUUAACCUUCGGGAGGGCGUUUACCACUUUGUGAUUCAUGACUGGGGUGAAGUCGUAACAAGGUAAGCGUAGCGAG
rnacentral:rRNA from 1 species